rnacentral:rRNA from 1 species
UGCAUGGAGCCGACCUUGAAAUACCACCCUUUAAUGUUUGAUGUUCUAACGUGGGCCCCUUACCGGGGUUGCGGACAGUGUCUGGUGGGUAGUUUGACUGGGGCGGUCUCCUCCUAAAGAGUAACGGAGGAGCACGAAGGUUGGCUAAUCCUGGUCGGACAUCAGGAGGUUAGUGCAAUGGCAUAAGCCAGCUUGACUGCGAGCGUGACGGCGCGAGCAGGUGCGAAAGCAGGUCAUAGUGAUCCGGUGGUUCUGAAUGGAAGGGCCAUCGCUCAACGGAUAAAAGGUACUCCGGGGAUAACAGGCUGAUACCGCCCAAGAGUUCAUAUCGACGGCGGUGUUUGGCACCUCGAUGUCGGCUCAUCACAUCCUGGGGCUGAAGUAGGUCCCAAGGGUAUGGCUGUUCGCCAUUUAAAGUGGUACGCGAGCUGGGUUUAGAACGUCGUGAGACAGUUCGGUCCCUAUCUGCCGUGGGCGCUGGAGAACUGAGGGGGGCUGCUCCUAGUACGAGAGGACCGGAGUGGACGCAUCACUGGUGUUCGGGUUGUCAUGCCAAUGGCACUGCCCGGUAGCUAAAUGCGGAAGAGAUAAGUGCUGAAAGCAUCUAAGCACGAAACUUGCCCCGAGAUGAGUUCUCCCUGACUCCUUGAGAGUCCUGAAGGAACGUUGAAGACGACGACGUUGAUAGGCCGGGUGUGUAAGCGCAGCGAUGCGUUGAGCUAACCGGUACUAAUGAACCGUGAGGCUUAACCUU